rnacentral:rRNA from 1 species
AUUGAACGCUGGCGGCAGGCCUAACACAUGCAAGUCGAGCGAGCGGCGGACGGGUGAGUAAUGUAUGGGGACUGCCCGAUAGAGGGGGAUAACUACUGGAAACGGUAGCUAAUACCGCAUACUAUCGGAUAACCCAGAUGGGAUUAGCUAGUAGGGGAGGUAAUGGCUUACCUAGGCGACGAUCCCUAGCUGUUCUAAGAGGAUAAUCAGCGACACUGUGACUGAGACACGGCCCAGACUCCGACGGAGGCAGCAGUGGGGAAUAUUGCACAAUGGGCGCAAGCCUGAUGCAUCCAUGCCGCGUGUAUGAAGAAGGCCCUAUGGUUGUGAAGUACUUUCAGUCGGGAGGCGUUACCGACAGAAGAAGCACCGGCUAACUCCGUGCCAGCAGCCGCGGUAAUUC